GAUGAACGCUGGCGGCGUGCCUAAUACAUGCAAGUCGAGCGAACGGACGAGAAGCUUGCUUCUCUGAUGUUAGCGGCGGACGGGUGAGUAACACGUGGAUAACCUACCUAUAAGGCUGGGAUAACUUCGGGAAACCGGAGCUAAUACCGGAUAAUAUUUUGAACCGCAUGGUUCAAAAGUGAAAGACGGUCUUGCUGUCACUUAUAGAUGGAUCCGCGCUGCAUUAGCUAGUUGGUAAGGUAACGGCUUACCAAGGCAACGAUGCAUAGCCGACCUGAGAGGGUGAUCGGCCACACUGGAACUGAGACACGGUCCAGACUCCUACGGGAGGCAGCAGUAGGGAAUCUUCCGCAAUGGGCGAAAGCCUGACGGAGCAACGCCGCGUGAGUGAUGAAGGUCUUCGGAUCGUAAAACUCUGUUAUUAGGGAAGAACAUAUGCGUAAGUAACUGUGCACAUCUUGACGGUACCUAAUCAGAAAGCCACGGCUAACUACGUG
rnacentral:rRNA from 1 species